GUAUAAUUAAUAUACCGGUUCUCGUUAGAUCACCGAAGUCAAGCAUCAUUGGGCGCGGUCAGUACUUGGGUGGGGGACCACCUGGGAACACCGCGUGCCGUCG
rnacentral:rRNA from 1 species